UACGGAGGGGGCUAGCGUUGUUCGGAAUUACUGAGCGUAAAGCGCACGUAGGCGGCUUUGCAAGUCAGAGGUGAAAGCCCGGGGCUCAACCCCGGAAUUGCCUUUGAGACUGCAUCGCUAGAAUUGUGGAGAGGUAAGUGGAAUUCCGAGUGUAGAGGUGAAAUUCGUAGAUAUUCGGAAGAACACCAGUGGCGAAGGCGACUUACUGGACACAUAUUGACGCUGAGGUGCGAAAGCGUGGGGAGCAAACAGG
rnacentral:rRNA from 1 species